GGAAAACCGACGGAGCCUCCAACGUUUAUCCGCGACUCCGACGCUUUUCCUGCGCCGGGAGCCGCGGCGGAAGCGAGGAUUUUUCCAGGAUUGUGGAGCCAUCCAGGAUCUGUAAAUCCAGGAGCACCAGGAUUUCUGUUGGAAGUCAUUCCCAGCUGGAAUUUUGGAAGCAGGAAAGGCCCAGCAGAGGAGCACAUGCAUCACUUCUGGGAGCUUUUGGAGACUUUGGAAAUCCUUUUAGUGCUGAGGGGGGUAAGAAAAAGGCCCUGGCAUGGGACAAGCACCUUCCAAACCCUGAUGGAAAACA